rnacentral:rRNA from 1 species
CCUACGGGAGGCAGCAGUGGGGAAUAUUGGGCAAUGGGCGCAAGCCUGACCCAGCAACUCCGCGUGAAGGAAGAAGGCUUUCGGGUUGUAAACUUCUUUUAAGGGGGAAGAGCAGAAGACGGUACCCCUUGAAUAAGCCACGGCUAACUACGUGCCAGCAGCCGCGGUAAUACGUAGGUGGCAAGCGUUGUCCGGAUUUACUUGGUGUAAAGGGCGUGCAGCCGGAGAGACAAGUCAGAUGUGAAAUCCACGGGCUCAACCCGUGAACUGCAUUUGAAACUGUUUCCCUUGAGUGUCGGAGAGGUAAUCGGAAUUCCUUGUGUAGCGGUGAAAUGCGUAGAUAUAAGGAAGAACACCAGUGGCGAAGGCGGAUUACUGGACGAUAACUGACGGUGAGGCGCGAAAGCGUGGGGAGCAAACAGGAUUAGAUACCCGUGUAGUC